UACGUAGGGUGCGAGCGUUGUCCGGAAUUACUGGGCGUAAAGAGCUCGUAGGUGGUUUGUCGCGUUGUUCGUGAAAUCUCACGGCUUAACUGUGAGCGUGCGGGCGAUACGGGCAGACUUGAGUACUGCAGGGGAGACUGGAAUUCCUGGUGUAGCGGUGGAAUGCGCAGAUAUCGGGAGGAACACCGGUGGCGAAGGCGGGUCUCUGGGCAGUAACUGACGCUGAGGAGCGAAAGCGUGGGGAGCGAACAGG
rnacentral:rRNA from 1 species